UACGAAGGGUGCAAGCGUUGUUCGGAAUUACUGGGCGUAAAGCGCGCGUAGGCGGAUCUAUAAGUCGGAUGUGAAAUCCCCAGGCUUAACCUGGGAAUUGCAUCCGAAACUGUAGACCUUGAAUGCUUGAGAGGAUGACGGAAUUCCUGGUGUAGAAGUGAAAUUCGUAGAUAUCAGGAGGAACACCGGAGGCGAAGGCGGUUGUCUGGCGAUGCAUUGACGCUGAGGCGCGAAAGCGUGGGUAGCAAACAGG
rnacentral:rRNA from 1 species